UGUUCCUCUCCGGAUCAAUCCUUCGCCUCCCCCGAUCUCUUCUUGGCUUGCCUUACCUGUGCUGGCGGUAGUUUGGUGCUGCUACCUCCGAUCGCCGAUUCUUAGUUUGUUGCCUGCCUGCUGGUACAGAUCCAUGGGGACAGAGACGCAUCAGGGCAUUACCUUGCCCUCUCGCUCUCUUCUCCUAAUUACGACCUUUUUUGUGUAUACAUCGUACCAGCGAAAUUCAGAUGGUUUCACGAGUUGGUUGGUUGUUAAUUGCUCGUUGUUUUGUAAUCCUAGGAAGAGAGCACGUAAGGAGAAUUUUCUUUUUAAGUAAUAAAGCAAAUAACUAAAGUUGCCUUUUUUCUAAUGAACUAGAACCAGGUGUGUUAUCAGUUUCAGUUUCAGUUUUAUAUCAGUUUCAGUUUCAGUUGGUUGGUUGUUUGUUCAGUAUCAUACUAUCAGUUUCAGUUUCAGUUAUAUAUCUCAGUGUUUUCAGUCCAACAAAGCUUUUGCAUUUCUGAAAUUGUGUUCAGUCGUUCCUGUUAAUCUGUGAGCUGUUGAUUCAGCAUUUCUUAAGAAGAGUAUAUCUUCUAUUGAGCAGUGAGCACAACCCCACACAUUCUUCAUGUCUUCCUCCAAAGCUAAGGCUAGUAAUGUUCAGUAUUCAGUCCGAUGUAUGAACUAGGGCACUAGGCUAAUGUUUAGUGUUUUAGUGACUGGUGGUACUUGCUCUCAGUUUUUGCAGAGUAUCCCUUCCCCUAAUGUGGCUGUUGUUCUGCAUUCUGCCUGAUUUGAUUUGUUGUUGCAGUAAGCAGCGUUGUUCACUAACCUUGGCGGAUGCAGGAUGAAAGGCGAGGGGGGGCUGAAACAAUGAAGAUGUUGAUUUGUGUAAAGAUUUAAUGGUGAUUUGAUGUUUUUGCUACAGUAUUUUACGUGUAAUUAGGGGAGCUUAGGGGGGGCUUGAGCCCCCCUAGCCCCCCUCCUGGAUCCGCCGCUGCUUCCUGGUGUCCCCGUACAAGAAGGUGCGGAAGGUGGUGUUCGUGGAGUCGAUCCCCAAGUCGCCGGCUGGAAAGGUUCUCAAGAGCCUUCUCAAGGACUGAGUAUGCUUGUGAUGUAAAAAAAGAUGUUCUAAUCAUUUGAUAUUUAUAGCCGAAGUGUUUUCUGGUUUGUAUUGAUCUUGGCAUGAUGAGAGAGCUGCAACAGACUACAAUUCCUAGAGAUUGAUAUCUUGGGUUCGUGGAAAUUUGAUGCAUUCAGUGAUUUGCAAAUUGCAAUUGUUACUUGUGCUCACGGAAGAAGUAUAAUAAUUAUUUUACUACAUUUAUUUAA